rnacentral:rRNA from 1 species
GACGAACGCUGGCGGCGCGCCUAACACAUGCAAGUCGAACGAGCGAGAGAGAGCUUGCUUUCUCAAGCGAGUGGCGAACGGGUGAGUAACGCGUGAGGAACCUGCCUCAAAGAGGGGGACAACAGUUGGAAACGACUGCUAAUACCGCAUAAGCCCACGACCCGGCAUCGGGUAGAGGGAAAAGGAGCAAUCCGCUUUGAGAUGGCCUCGCGUCCGAUUAGCUAGUUGGUGAGGUAACGGCCCACCAAGGCGACGAUCGGUAGCCGGACUGAGAGGUUGAACGGCCACAUUGGGACUGAGACACGGCCCAGACUCCUACGGGAGGCAGCAGUGGGGAAUAUUGCACAAUGGGGGAAACCCUGAUGCAGCGACGCCGCGUGGAGGAAGAAGGUCUUCGGAUUGUAAACUCCUGUUGUUGAGGAAGAUAAUGACGGUACUCAACAAGGAAGUGACGGCUAACUACGUG